rnacentral:rRNA from 1 species
GACGAACGCUGGCGGCGUGCUUAACACAUGCAAGUCGAACGGAAAGGCCCUGCUUUUGUGGGGUGCUCGAGUGGCGAACGGGUGAGUAACACGGGAGUAACCUGCCCUUUACUUUGGGAUAACUUCAGGAAACUGGGGCUAAUACCGGAUAGGAGCUCCUGCUGCAUGGUGGGGGUUGGAAAGGUUCGGCGGUUGGGGAUGGACUCGCGGCUUAUCAGCUCGUUGGUGGGGUAGUGGCUUACCAAGGCUCUGACGGGUAGCCGGCCUGAGAGGGUGACCGGCCACAUUGGGACUGCGGGACGGCCCAGAAUCGUACGGGAGGCAGCAGUGGGGAAUAUUGCACAAUGGGCGGAAGCCUGAUGCAGCAACCCUGCGUGCGGGAUGACGGCCUUCGGGUUGUAAACCGCUUUCGCAUGUGACGAAGCGUGAGUGACGGUAAUGGGUAAAGAAGCAACGGCUAACUACGUG